AAGUGAGACCCUGUCUUUAUUUAAAAUUAAGGAAAAAUAAAGAUACGAUACUGUAUGCAGAUUUAAAUCAUUUUGAGCAAGUCGUAUUUUCUUGCCACCUUGGAAGAGUCAAUUAACAUUUAUUGCUGGCCACAUGGCAGACAAUAUGCUCAAUGCUUCAUGGGCAUUAUCUCAUUUCUGUUUUAAAUUACAAAAUGAAGUCUAUGGAUGUUGAAAAUUUUGAAAGAUAUAGAAAAACACAGGAUAAAAAUUGAGAGGCUCUCGUCUCUUCUGCCUUCCCUUACCUUCUCUCUCACUGCUCUCUUUCCCUACAGCUUACCCUAGUGGUACAUGUAUGGUUGUGUGCCGGAUAUGUAUGUGUGUGUUUGUGGGUAGCUGUGUGUACAUACACACAUAACCAUACAAACAAGACCAUAGCUAUUUAUUGUAUUAAGACUUUUCCCCCCUUUUUAAUAGUGUAAUUUGGAUAUUUUCCUGCCUUCUACCAAAUACAUAAAUAUCAUGUUUCUUAAUACUCUUAAUAGUCUAUUCCAUAGUUUAGACUGUAUUUAACAACUCCCUUAUCAUUAGAUAUUUAGGCUUGUCCAGCUUUUUGCUAUCACAAACAGGGAUCUUGGUGUAUAUGUGAAUGUUGGCAGCAGGUUAGCAGAGCACCAGAAGUGGGACUACUGGUCAAACCUUUGCACAAAAAUCAUACAGCCUCUAAUAGCAUUUCCCAGAGAAGAAAAGGGCCUUGUCUGGAACACAGAUCAAGAACUCUUAACUUUUUCUGAUCCAUGCUUUACAUUGCCACUUGAUAAAUACUACAUGUCAUCUCUAAGUACCACUAAAUCUCCCAUCUGGAGAGAUGGGACACUCUCCUUUAUACCUUUGAUGACUUUACUACCCAUGAUAAAAGCAGGAGAUCCCACCUUCCAGCUGCCCCUUCUUAAACAUCUAACUCUGUGCAAGUCCCAACCCUCAUUUAAUCACUUUGCUACUUCAUUGCAUUCAUCACACCAACUUGCAGUUAUUUGUACAGUUGUUCAUCUUCCAUUAGACUGAGCCCUCUGAGGGCAGGAAAUAUUUUUCAUUCUUCUUGGAACUUCCUUUUCCUAACAUAGUGUCUGAGAUGCUCAAUAAACUUUUUUUUGAGUGAAUAAAAAAUAAAUGAGGGAGUAGAAUACCUAGAUGAAUUCAGUUAUAAAAUGGCUCCAGGUACUGAAAUUGUCCAUUUUCAUUUUUAUGUUUUUGCAAUAAGAAAGAUGAACAUGCAUCUCCCCUAGUGCUACUUUUUUCAAAACUAAAUAUUCUAAUUCCAAGGCUUUAUUUCCGUCAAAUAACUACCACUUCCAAAUUCUUCUGUUAUUUUUAUUGUUCUCCAGGAUCUCUCCAUCUCAAUCAUGUCAUACAUUGGAAACAAUUCUCUGACACUUCAUCUAUAUACAAUCAACACUUUGUUAGGCUCUUGUAGCUGCCUCAUUUUUUGUAACACAAUAGAAUACUUGCCUUAAUAAUAAAUUAUAUUUGCCUUACAGUAUGGCUUAUUAGAUACCCAAAAUGUUUUCUGCCAUGCUUUCGAAAUGUUUUGACUGCAUGACAUUCUAUGGUGUUAAAAUUCCCCAAAAUGAAUGAUUUAUACUGCAUUUGCCUUAAUUGGAAUCUAUCCUGUUUUCAUCUUUCCUACUUUGACAGUCAUCUCAAUGUAAAUCCUGUGUCAGAGGUGCUUAUCUGUCUCUUUGCUACUUUUCUUUGAAAACUAAACAUAAACACAAGAAAUUUCACAUAGUAAAACUAGUAAGAUCUGGGUUUAUAAAUAUAAAUGGUGCAUCUGUGGCGGCAGAGCUCUGUCUCCAACUUCUUGGAGAUAAACAAGUUCAUAGUUAGAAAUGCUCUAGAAGUAAACAGGAAACCUGCUACACAAAUUGUGAAAUAUAAGUAUGUUUUAUAGAAGUCCUGAAAUUGUAUUUUUCAACAAGUUAAAACAGAAAAACCUAACACUACCAUAUCCAUUAAAUAUUAAUUCUCUCUUCCUCAAAUGUUUUACUCAUAUCUAUGCCUGUCCCUUUGGAACAUUUUUCAGUCAAAUUCAUAACACUGUCUUGAUUCCAAGCCUCAGGAGAACAUUUGAAUGAAAUUUUCAAAUGCUUCAAUUUUUAUAUCAUCCAAUGUGGAAUUCACAUUUACUGAGCACCUGCAAUGAGCUAGGAUCUGUACUACAUACUUUUAAAAAUACAUUAUUUUUCCUAAGAAAGUUCUGAGGUAGAUAUAUUAUUUUACAGAUGAGGAAACAGAGGUUCAGAGAGGUUAACUGACUUCACAAAAGUCAUAGAGCUACUAGGUAACAGAGCUCAUUGAACAUGGAGCUAGGAUUCAACCCUGGAUCGCCGUGAAGCCAUUUUGUUUCCAUGACAUCAUGACAUUGGUUAUAACACCACAAUUGUUUAGAAUAUAAGGCUUGUUUAGAAUGCAAGGCUUCCUCAAUUCUCCACCCUUCCCCUCUUGACAUCUUGCUCUUCUUCCCUUCAUCUAUUGUGUUAGUCAGGUGCAUGCUGGUCUUCCCUCUAUCAAACUGUAAGCUACUUGGAGACUUGGGAUGCCUCACUCAUCUCUAUUCCCAAACCUCAGGGUCUAUCAUUCUACCUUCUGUAUAGACAGGACUUUCAUAGUUUUGAACAAGUCAGAACCUGAAAGAAUUUGCUUCCAGAACAGGACAUUGACAGGAAAAUUAAGCAUGAUCAUGCCGAGUAAAAUAGGAAUAAGAAUUGGACCUACCUCAAGAUCUGUUGAGAAGAUUAUGAGAGAGCUGAUGGAUCUAAAAGAUUGGCGCUUGAUAGAAUUGGGAUCAUUUGUUUUGACUAGAACAAUCUCUUGCAGCUUGGAUGGAGAAACUUUACAGAGGUUUCAGCCAAACACUCAUGAAUUCUUUAAUGUGUGAAAUAAAGUAAGUUUUAUAGGCAAAUAACAAUCUGAAUCCCUAACUAGCUAUUUCAUAUAAUAUGCAUAUAACUCUGAAAAUUACAUACAUCAAAUUUCAAUUUGGCUUCAUGCAUGCUUUGUUUUAUAGAUUCAUAAAGGCAGAUUUUCUCUGAUUAUCAGACUUAUUGCAAAAUGGAGUCAACACAGAAACUUCCUGAAGUUGGCAAAGCUUGUUUUCUUUGGCUGACAGGAGUAACUGAUGUAUUAUUAUUUUUUAAGGCUCUGAGAUAAAUCUGAUUCAUGUUUGAAUCAUAAGUUUAUUAUUGAUUUUUAGUGUGGAUUUUGCAUAAGAUACUCAAUUUAGAGAAUACUCAGCUUUCUCAUAUGCAGAAUAGAAAAAAAGUAGUUACCUGAUCAGAUUUUUUGAAAGGUAAAUGCAACAGCAGUUGUAAAUGGCAUAGUCCAUUGUUAGGAAUAGACUAGGUGUUCAAUAAAUGAAUAAAAAAAAACCGUGAAGCUCUCCUGAAGCUUUAUAUUCCCUGUCUAUAAAAUGGAGACAUCACUGAUUUCCUGCUUACAUUACAAGACUGCUGUGAAGAUCAAAUGAAGAAACAGAUAAAAAUGUUUGGUAAACUGAAUUGUACAGUAUAAAUAGAAAGCGGUGACAAAAGUAAUUCAUACCAAUGCAGUUUUUUAAAAAUAUCCCAACCUGCCUACACAACUACUUCCUCUCUCUGAGAUUUAUCUCAAAAGUGGAAUUAGAUUCCUGUCUUAGCUGUAAAAAUAAAGCCACAAAGGGCAUCAUGCAUGAGAGAGUAAAUGUGAAACUCUGUGGGGGAAAAUGGAAACUUCAGAUAUUAUUAGGGCCUAGCUGCCAAUGGUGAUUCUCUCAAGAUUUUAUUGGCAGGUUGAGUGAAAGUGCCAGAGUGUGGAUGCACAAAUUGUAGUUUAAUUGGUGUGAUUUAUAGCUAAUGGUGCAUCAGAAGGAGGAACUAGGAACUGUGCCUUCUAAUUUAAGGCAUAGUACCUAAGACUGCAUCCACUAGGUAAGAAAACCUUCCUUGGCAAACUCAAAUAUUAAAUCUUCGCUGAAUUUGUCUUGUUCUUUUAUAUAAAAAUCAUGGAGCCAGGAGCUAAAAUAAUAUCUAAGUUUCCUCUUUGCCUGACGCCAUCCAUGCAAAAUGUGACUUGCUUCUUCAGCAGCAGCAUGAAAACAAACUAAUACACCACUAUUCCUAGGUAAGUAGAGCCACAAUGGGAAGACCACUAAGGGAAUAUGGAGGCUCACAGAGGCUAGUCAAUUUAUCCAAGGCCACGCAGCAAAGCUGGGACUCAAACUCAAAUCUUCUAGUCCUAGUUUCAUUCAGUUUUUUUUUUUUCCUACAUUGAUUCUAGACUUUGUUCUACAAGUGACUACUUUUCUGUUUUGUUCCUGACAUGAACAUGUCCAUGGCUGUCUCAGACUUGUUUGGUUACCCUAAGUAACCAUUUAGCAGCCAAUUUCUGAUAUGACUAUAGAUACAUCUCUAUAAGUGAAUUCUAUAGGUGAUUUGGCAUGAUCAAAAUGAAAAGGCUUUGUUUGAGUUCCCCAAUAUACUGCUCAAAUGAAAGCUUCUCAAAAUAUCAUUUUGAGAUACGACAGGUCUUUCCUUCAAAUACAACAGAUACUUUUCUUUUGCAGCACUCAGCAUACAUACAACUAUUUAUUUAUCUGUAAGUACUUGCUUAGUAUCUGUGAAGAACAUUGCAGGUACCUGACAUAUGUCUAACUGAUGGAGUGAGGCUGCUAAUGUGGCCAUCUCUCCCUCUUCCUGAUAAGAAAGUGAACCAGCCAUUUCAAAAUGUGGAGAAUUCGAUAAAUAUGUUCUACUCCUCUAUAGCCCUCCCACUAAAAUAAUUUUCAAUUUUCAAUUGAGGUGAAAGGAAGAAUCGGCAAAGAGACGGAUUGAGAGAAUUGUUUAUACUCAUAACUUCGUUCUCAACAUAAUUAUCUAUUUCUGAAUCCUAAAAAUCACCUAGCUAGAUUCUCCCUCAAUCUGAAGAUUACCUUUUACUCCUUGAGAUGCUAAAUGUGUUCCUAUUUAUCAUAUUAAUAUUGCGAGUAUUUUGUGUUAUGCAGCCAGAAAAAUCACAUAAUGGGAACUUACCCACAGCCCCCAAACUCAUAAACAGGAGCUGAAUAGAAAUUCCUCAGUGCAAUUUAUGGUAACAAUUUCAUGCUCAGUUUAGUUACUUCCAUGACUCAGAAAAGAAAUUUCUUUUGCUUAUUUCAGUAAUUUUUUUCUAAAAAAUUGUUCCCCUAAUUUUUGGCAAAGGAUCUAUGAGAAAGUGAAGAACUCCCUGGUUGUACAUGGAUUUGGAAUUGUCACUUAAGUGAGGCCAAAAUGUAACCCUAUGCCAUUCAUUGCAUAGUACCAUUUGUUAUAAAUUUGACCUCUAAAACAAAGAUAUUACAAAGCCAUUGAGUGUUUUUUUAAGGGAUAUAUUAUAUUUGUCACUUAGUCCCCAGUAUUAUGAUGGAAAACCUGGAUAGUGGAUAGAAAACCUGGAGGUCAUUUAGGCAUCUCUUUCACUGGUUGGGUGAGAAAUGGUGAAGAAGAUGGGAAUGGAGAAGGGACAUACAUUUGGUAAGUGUAAAUAAGAGUCUUUGCUGAUUAAUUCAGUGUGGCCCAUGAGAAAGAGUGGAAGUGUCCAAGGUUCCCUCAGGUUUACAGCUUGGGCAACUGACUGAGAACAGAAAGGAGCUGCCAUUGAGAGGAAGAAAAGAAAAUGACACUGAGUCCAUGUUGGGACACAUUGGGUUUAAAGGGAUAUCAUUAUGACCUAAGCUCUCUGAAUUCCAGUGACUGGGAAUAUGGGAAGAUACAUCUUUAACAGUUGAAGCAAUUUAUACACUUUAACAAUUGAAGCAAUUUAUACACCAGAGCCUAAGGAAUAUUUAUAGAUGAGGGCUGUGCUGCAAUGACAGAUAGGGUUGUAUGAAACAUACACUAAUCUGACCAUUCUAUCCUCCAGACUCAGGGAAGGAAAUAAUAAAAGUAAGUAACCAUAAAAAAUAGACUUUUAUGCAUAAAUAAAUAAAAAUCAGCUAGGAGACAGUUCAUCCCUGUAUAAGUAAAACAGGCAAAUUUAUCUUUCCUCUGAUUAAUAAUUUAAGAAAAAAUCCCAAGCAAGCUGCCUAUGGAGGUGUAGGAGUAGCUCCUAUAAUUAGACUCCAAUUUGAACCAUGAGGGUGAGGAUCAGAAAGCUGACUCAGAGCCUGGUGUCAAUUAUUUGCAGUUUGUACAACGAAAGGCUAAAAAUUUGGGAGAUGCAGGAUGACUGAAGCCCGAUUCUGGGGGUUGUUACAGCACAGUUACAGGGUAAGUUUUUUCCAUUGUUAUUUGCUGGAAAAUUUAUUCUCCAUCUCCUUUAGUCUGUGCCUGAAUUUUGUGGGACUUGCUCGAGAAUGGUAUUCAUGCUUUAAAUCCAAGAGCCAGGAAUCAUCGCAUUUCAACAAUUUUCCUAUUUAUUUUAACCAAAACAGAGCUGGUUUCUAUAACUCAAUUUAAGAAAUUAUCCUCUUUGAUACAAUCUACUUAUGUUUGAUUGAUUUUAGAAUAAACUAACAGAUACACAAGAGCUUAUCAAGCUAGCUCGGUUCAGUGGAGAACUAUAGCAGAAACAGCAGGUUUCUAUUUGGCACAUUUUGGAUUUAUCUGGACGCAAGAGGAUGUGAAAAGAACACCUUUCAGACAAAAGCCAGUCUUGAGUAGGAAUUUAGUGUUCCUUGCCCAAACAGCUUAGUUUGUUUCCCAUUUUGAGUCACUAUCUGAAUCCUUUUUUAUCUCCUAUAUAGAACAAAUUCUCUCCCUCUAUUUAAUAGGCUUUCAGAUAUGAAACAGAGAGAGAGAGAGAGAGAGGAAGGAAGGAAGGGAGGGAGGGAAAGAGAAAGGGAAAGAAGGAAGGAAAAGCUCUAAUUUCUUCUGUUCUUUUGGUAACACACCUCCCCUUCACAUCCUUCAGCUGCUCCCCUUAGGGCUUUUUGUAGACACUUUUGGUGGUCUCUCCUCUCACACACUGCUCACCACUGUACUUUAUUUUGUAUCAUCUGUCUCCAUCCUUUCCCAACUCCUGAGCACUCAGCCUCCUCUGGAUCUUUUCUGGUUCCUUCGCUCCUAGAACUGUGUCUGAUGGCUUAUGAAGGCAAAUGACAAAUGUUUGCCAUAUGCACAUGUAUGUGCAUGAAUGAAUACAUCCAGGUUCUGACUUCCUCGGGGCAACCUCUACUUUCUCAAUGCCCCUCUUAAGAUGGGGGUGGGGGAGGGUCCUCCUAGAACUGAACAUGAUAUUCCAGGUGUGAUCUAAUACAUUUAAAUGUCCAAAAGCUCUUUCUUCCCUAAACGUUCCUUUUUAAAAGCUACUGUUCUCAAUUAAUGGGUGUCUCAUCUUCUUAAGUAUAUUAAUAAGAGGUAUUUUGAUGUUUCCCUCCAUUCUGUGGAUUACCUCUUGAUUCUCUGGAUUCUUUGUGAUUCCGUUUUGUUUUAAGGAUGUUCUCAGGUGUCUGGUGAUCCUUGCUUAUAAGUCCAAAUUAAUGAUGAGGCACUAAAAUGCUGAUUGGAAGCUCUCUGUGCAGGCAGGUAUUGUUGAAUAGUGGUAAACAGGGGACAUGUUCAUUUUGGAGACACUCAAAUAUCAGGACCUAUAAAUCUCUAUGCCAAGUCAGUUUCCCCAGAGUCUCUUAAUAUCAUUUCUUUCAGGUUAAAAGCCUGGUUACCAGGUUCUGGGAGUGAAGGGAGGAGUGGGGCUUAGACAAGGGUGGGGGCGGGGGUAUGUCUCACAAUUCACUAAAUACCUUCUUUUAUAUAUGUGUUCUCUGUGCAGCAUUUUACCCCCACCAUCGUCCAUGUCUGAUGCCUCAGGUUCAAUCUUGUUCAGUCUUUCCAAAGAGGAAACAUUGGUUGGGUGGGAAUGAUUGGCAGGUCGAAGAGAGAAUUUGAAGCUAUAGCUGCUCCUUUUAAAACUUCUAACUCAUCUUUGUUUUUUCAGGCCUUCCUCACACCCAUGUCUUCAGAUACCCAAGGCCUUUAAUACCCAAGUCCUUCCAGGAUUCUGCACAUCUCAUUAGCUUCAUAUUCCCAUUUGCUGUAUUAUCAGUGUCUGAUGAUGUUGACAAUGUUGAAGAAGAAGAAAGAAGAGGAGUUGGAGGAGGAGGAAGAAAACAUCCAGAGCAUUCAAUUUAUUCUAGUUAAAUUACUAACCAGAAAGAGAAUGCCCUCGGAAGUCUACUUUAUAAUGCUGUUUGGUUCUAAGUAAAGAGCAUCUAAUAGGGAGACAUGUAAAUCCUGUUUCCAAAACACACUUAGAGGAUUACAGCAUGUGAAAGAUUUGCU
rnacentral:lncRNA from 1 species